UCUCUCCCUAUAAGCAUUUGAACACAGAUGAACAUGAAGUAACGAUUAAACUGAGCAAUACUGCAUAGCUAAACUGCAGGGAUCUUGCUCAGUUGUCUAGCUUGGGAAAAAAAAUCUAAGAAUAUUGUUUUAAUCAAUCUUCUGAUAGUAUAUCUGUCAAUGCCCAGUUUUCUUUGUGGUGCUAGAACUGUAGUUGUACAACAACAACAACAACAACAGCUCUGUAUACUUUUCCAAAGCGUUGUUAUGUGAGAAGCAAUAGAUUUUCAAAUUUUGAGAGAAAAAAAAAAAAGCAGCUAUGGAAUUUCCUGUUGGAUCCUCUCAGCACUGGACCAAGCCAUACCUGUGACUAACUCAUGAAAAUCUUUCAAACAUUCAUCUCUAUACAUAAAAUUGGAAAGGUGACCCCAAAGGUCUUUUUUUGAGAGAACAUCAUGGACUUUUCACAGGAGCUGCGAAGGGCCACAGGGGCAGGCCGAGGUA
rnacentral:lncRNA from 1 species